rnacentral:rRNA from 1 species
UACGUAGGGUGCAAGCGUUAAUCGGAAUUACUGGGCGUAAAGCGUGCGCAGGCGGUUUUGUAAGUCUGACGUGAAAUCCCCGGGCUUAACCUGGGAAUUGCGUUGGAGACUGCAAGGCUGGAAUCUGGCAGAGGGGGGUAGAAUUCCACGUGUAGCAGUGAAAUGCGUAGAGAUGUGGAGGAACACCGAUGGCGAAGGCAGCCCCCUGGGGUAACACUGACGCUCAUGCACGAAAGCGUGGGGAGCAAACAGG